AUGUGGGCCUCCUUCUUCGUGCUCUUCAUAUCCUUCUACAAAGUAGUUAUUCAAAGCAAAAAUAAUAUACCCUUCCUACAAAGGCGGCAUUCAGCAGGCAUGCAUAUAUUUAGAUCGCUGUGCAAACAAUUACCGACUUUUGUCCGAGGCAGGAGAAUGGUACCCUGUGCUGCAGAGGGGGGAUGGACAAAGACAUCCCAAGGCAGCCUGCAGCGAGGAAUUGGCCAGGAGAUGGAUCUCAGGGGCAGAUUCAGCCUUGGUGUAAGAAACGUGGUAUUAAUUAAAUGGCAAAGCUCUCACAAGCCUGAUCUGGAGGACUGGCAGCUGCAAGAUGCCAGUGACCAUUCCGAAACUGAAGUGAAGAAAUCCAGCAUACCAUCAGUUGCUGAGCCAUCAGAGGACCAGAGACCUAUAGUUGAAUUCCCACCAUUACUGAAUGACUUCCCACCACUCGAGACAUUGUUGCCUGAACCCUCACAGGCUGGGCUAUCAGCACCUGUAGUCAAUCCAACAUAUGAAAUAUCAGAGCAGCCAAUGGUGUAUGAAGACCCCUGUGAAGUCUCUGUUAAGUACAUGGAGAAACAUAAUAUUCAGCAGAUAUUAGAGGAGAUCAUACUAAAACUGCUGUACGAGAAGCCUGAUGACCCCUUGCAGUUCAUAUUGCUGCAGGUGCAGUCUAUGAUAAAUGCCCGGCAGGCAGAAACGGAGGGAAUAUUGGAUGAGAGCAAAGAUAGAGAGGAGUUUCUGGAAUAAAUUCUGUGCACUCCUUUGGGCCCCUACUGACCUUGCUAUUGUGGUGUUCCAUGUGGCCUUCGCAGCAUCCUGCUUUUGCAACCAGUGGAAGUAACUUUGGAAAUGUCUGCUAGUAUCUCUGUUUCUUGAUUUUUCAUGUGAUUGUGCUUCCCCUUUAGUAUAAAUCCUGCAAUCUAGUGUCUUUAUGGACACAAACUCAAAUCUGAAAGUGCAUGAGCCUGCAUGCACAUAUGGCACAUUUUGAAAAGGCUGUUCUCAUGAAAUCUUGUAUGGUCUAUCCACAGCUCCCACGUGUAGGCCACCACUAAAUUAGACUUUUCUGUGCAGAGAAACCUCACAGCACAGACAAUACAAGUGCAAAAGCAAGUAGAAUUAAAAAGCAGCCCUGGACAACCCACAGUCCUCACUUUUUCAUGCUGCACUGGUGGCUUACUGUCUCAAACUAUGCAGUAUCACCAAUGCCCAUCUAACACUUUGAAGUCUGUGCUGGGAGAGGCUCAGCCAGUGUUUUUUCUGCUGUCUCAAAGCUCCUCUGAUGCAAGGAGCCAUCUCUUUGUUGCUUCCACACACUGUCAGUAGCUGUCUCACUCUUAACUAUCCCUGCUGGGUUCAGAUCACUCUGUUUUUGGUGCUGCCCUGCCUGUAUCAUUGCAAGUACAGUGUGUAUUUUGAUUAAAAGAACAGUAAAGCAACAGUUGCCUGCACGCUCUGUGGCUUCAGAAGGCACUGUCACUCGGGAAUGUGAGAGGUGAAUAAAACUAAACAAACCAAAGACA
rnacentral:lncRNA from 1 species